rnacentral:rRNA from 1 species
UGGGGAAUAUUGGACAAUGGGGGCAACCCUGAUCCAGCAAUGCCGCGUGUGUGAAGAAGGUCUUCGGAUCGUAAAGCACUUUCGACGGGGACGAUGAUGACGGUACCCGUAGAAGAAGCCCCGGCUAACUUCGUGCCAGCAGCCGCGGUAAUACGAAGGGGGCUAGCGUUGCUCGGAAUUACUGGGCGUAAAGGGCGCGUAGGCGGCUCUGUUAGUCAGGCGUGAAAUUCCGGGGCUUAACCUGGGGCCUGCGCUUGAUACUGCGGAGCUUGAGGCCGAGAGAGGGUGGUGGAAUUCCCAGUGUAGAGGUGAAAUUCGUAGAUAUUGGGAAGAACAUCGGUGGUGAAGGCGACCACCUGGCUCGGUACUGACGCUGAGGCACGACAGCGUGGGGAGCAAACA